rnacentral:rRNA from 1 species
GAUGAACGCUGGCGGCGUGCCUAAUACAUGCAAGUCGAGCGAACAGACGAGGAGCUUGCUCCUCUGACGUUAGCGGCGGACGGGUGAGUAGCACGUGGAUAACCUACCUAUAAGACUGGGAUAACUUCGGGAAACCGGAGCUAAUACCGGAUAACAUGUUGAACCGCAUGGUUCAACAGCGAAAGACGGUCUUGCUGUCACUUAUAGAUGGAUCCGCGCCGCAUUAGCUAGUUGGUAAGGUAACGGCUUACCAGGGCAACGAUGCGUAGCCGACCUGAGAGGGUGAUCGGCCACACUGGAACUGAGACACGGUCCAGACUCCUACGGGAGGCAGCAGUAGGGAAUCUUCCGCAAUGGGCGAAAGCCUGACGGAGCAACGCCGCGUGAGUGAAGAAGGUCUUCGGAUCGUAAAACUCUGUUAUUAGGGAAGAACAAAUGUGUAAGUAACUAUGCACGUCUUGACGGUACCUAAUCAGAAAGCCACGGCUAACUACGUG